UUAUCAAAAUGUAUCAUUUAAUGAUUGAAGAAUAUAUUCUCAUGACGAAAAUAUAAUUGAUUAUAUUAAACAAGAAUGAACAGUUAAUAUUAUAUAAAAUAUUCCUGUAUCAGAAGAAGUUAGGUGGACCCUAUAAGACUGUGAUUUUGUUUCGUGAAGGGGCAAAAAUCCAUAUCACGUCCGUGUGAUACAUUCUUUUUGUGUGAAAAAAUAACAUACAAAGAUAACCCAUAAGUCGUUUAUGCUCCAAAUUUCAUUGUAAACUCAGGCUGAUAGUCCAAGCAUUUUUUUUCGUGAAGCUAUUUGACGCUCUUAGUCUCUCAUACUGUGCCAUUCUUACAGUCUCACCCGACCAAAACUGUAAUAACAGACAGUAAUCGGCUUGAGUUAACAGUGAAAUUUGGAGCAUAAACUCCUCAUACCAUGGCAUAUCUCAUUAUGCUAUUUUUUCUCUAUGGUUACUUAGUUAUAAGGCAAUUAUAGAAUGCAAUUGAUGUGUUGUAUUUGAGUGUGCGGCAAAGCAAUGGAGCGCAUCAUAGUGCAUCGCACUUAUUGGCCACUAGCAGAUUCUUCUGCGACCAGAACAGCCGGCUGAACGAGCUGAUGGCCGAGACCAAGACCACGGAGUAAAGAACACUCAUUGUUAUGUAUUCUGUGCCAAGACCAAGAUAUCGCUGGCUCCCCCCUCCACUGGCAAGGACCAGAUAGCUAUAGCUGGUGACAAGGAGGGAGUGCAAGCUGCCAAGGACCACAUCAUGGCUGUCUGCAACGAAAUGCACUGACGAUGAUAUAGGAGAAGGCGAACAGCGUAGUGGAGCAGUACCUAGACGUGCCCUCCUGGAUCCACCGACAUCUGAUCGGCAAAAAGGGCGCCGACAUUCUCAAGACGAAGGAGGACAGCCCCAAGGUCUAUUUCGAAAAGAACAAGGACCGCCAGGAGAAGGACAAUCGUAUCAGAAUAGAAGGU